GAUGAACGCUGGCGGCGUGCCUAAUACAUGCAAGUCGAGCGAACGGACGAGAAGCUUGCUUCUCUGAUGUUAGCGGCGGACGGGUGAGUAACACGUGGAUAACCUACCUAUAAGACUGGGAUAACUUCGGGAAACCGGAGCUAAUACCGGAUAAUAUUUUGAACCGCAUGGUUCAAAAGUGAAAGACGGUCUUGCUGUCACUUAUAGAUGGUUCCGCGCUGCAUUAGCUAGUUGGUAAGGUAACGGCUUACCAAGGCAACGAUGCAUAGCCGACCUGAGAGGGUGAUCAGCCACACUGGAACUGAGACACGGUCCAGACUCCUACGGGAGGCAGCAGUAGGGAAUCUUCCGCAAUGGGCGAAAGCCUGACGGAGCAACGCCGCGUGAGUGAUGAAGGUCUUCGGAUCGUAAAACUCUGUUAUUAGGGAAGAACAUAUGUGUAAGUAACUGUGCACAUCUUGACGGUACCUAAUCAGAAAGCCACGGCUAACUACGUG
rnacentral:rRNA from 1 species